GGGCUCGUAGUUCAGUUGGCUAGAACGCCGCAUUUGCAAUGCGGAGGCCUGCCCCGCCCU
rnacentral:tRNA from 1 species